AUAACAGAUGGAAACGCCUGCUAAUACCGCAUAAGCGCACAGUACCGCAUGGUACAGUGUGAAAAACUCCGGUGGUGUGAGAUGGACCCGCGUCUGAUUAGCUAGUUGGCAGGGCAACGGCCUACCAAGGCGACGAUCAGUAGCCGACCUGAGAGGGUGACCGGCCACAUUGGGACUGAGACACGGCCCAAACUCCUACGGGAGGCAGCAGUGGGGAAUAUUGCACAAUGGGGGAAACCCUGAUGCAGCGACGCCGCGUGAGCGAAGAAGUAUUUCGGUAUGUAAAGCUCUAUCAGCAGGGAAGAAGAAAUGACGGUACCUGACUAAGAAGCACCGGCUAAAUACGUGCCAGCAGCCGCGGUAAUACGUAUGGUGCAAGCGUUAUCCGGAUUUACUGGGUGUAAAGGGAGCGCAGGCGGAAGGCUAAGUCUGAUGUGAAAGCCCGGGGCUCAACCCCGGUACUGCAUUGGAAACUGGUCAUCUAGAGUGUCGGAGGGGUAAGUGGAAUUCCUAGUGUAGCGGUGAAAUGCGUAGAUAUUAGGAGGAACACCAGUGGCGAAGGCGGCUUACUGGACGAUAACUGACGCUGAGGCUCGAAAGCGUGGGGAGCGAACAGGAUUAGAUACCCUGGUAGUCCACGCCGU
rnacentral:rRNA from 1 species